rnacentral:rRNA from 1 species
UUAAGGAAGAAAGAGCAUAAGGUGAAUGCCUUGGUGAUUAGAGCCGAAGAAGGACGUGGCAAGCUGCGAAAAGCUAUGAUAAGGAGCAAACAUCCGUUACAGUCAUAGAUCUCCGAAUGAGGAAACUCACUUAAUAGAGAUAUUAAGUAUCCAUUACUGAAUUCAUAGGUAAUAGGAAGGGAACCCACCGAACUGAAACAUCUAAGUAAGUGGAGGAAAAGAAAGAAACAUCGAUUCCCAAAGUAGCGGCGAGCGAAAUGGGAGGAGCCCAAACCAUAUAAGGAAACUUAAAUGGGGUAAGGACUAUCAACAAAGUGACGAGGUAUUGAAGAAGAAGUAGUCUGGGAAGCUACACCAAAGACGGUAAAAGUCCGGUAUUUAAAACAAGAAGACGCACGAGAUAGUACCAGAGUAUCGUAGGACACGAGGAACCCUGCGAGAAGAAAGGGGGACCACCCCCAAAGGCUAAAUACUACUAAUCAACCGAUAGAGAAAAGUACCGUGAGGGAAAGGUGAAAAGAACCCCGGGAGGGGAGUGAAAGAGAACCUGAAACCAUAUGCUUACAAACAGAUGGAGCGAUAAGUGACAUCGUACUUUUUGUAGAACGGGCCAACGAGUUAUGCUGUAAAGCAAGGAAAAGAAAUUAAGUUUCAAAUCCAAAGCGAAAGCGAGUCUGAAAAGGGCGAUAAGUUAUACAGCAUAGACCCGAAACCGGGCGACCUACCCAUGAGCAGGUUGAAGUUUCAGUAACAUGAAAUGGAGGACCGAACCCACGAACGUUGAAAAGUUCGGGGAUGACUUGUGGGUAGCGGUGAAAUUCCAAUCGAGCUCGGAGAUAGCUGGUUCUCUUCGAAAUAGCUUUAGGGCUAGCGUCUUAAGAAGUGUAUAUCGGGGGUAGAGCACUGAAUGCUCUAGGGGCCGUAUAGGUUACCGAAAGCUAUCAAACUUCGAAUACCGAUAUAUAAAUAAGGCAGUCAGACUACGAGUGAUAAGAUCCGUGGUCAAGAGGGAAAAAGCCCAGAUCAACAGCUAAGGUCCCAAAAUGUAUGUUAAGUGGAAAAGGAUGUGAAAUUGCACAGACAACCAGGAUGUUGGCUUAGAAGCAGCCAUACAUUAAAAGAGUGCGUAAUAGCUCACUGGUCGAGUGGUUUUGCGCCGAAAAUUACCGGGGCUCAAACAUACUACCGAAGCUUUGGAUUCACGCAAGACGUGAGUGGUAGAAGAGCAUCGUAUGAUAGGACGAAGCAGAAUCGAAAGAGACUGUGGACAAAAUACGAGAGAGAAUGUUGGCAUGAGUAGCGAGAUGUGUGUGAGAAUCACACAGGCCGAAAACCCAAGGAUUCCUGAGGAAGGUUCGUCCGCUCAGGGUAAGUCGGGGCCUAAGGCGAGGCAGAGAUGCGUAGCUGAUGGAUAACAGGUUAAGAUUCCUGUACCUACGAGUAUCGCCAAAGAGGAGAAGGAAUGACGCAGGAGGAUAGUUAAAGCGUGCGAUUGGAAGAGCACGUCCAAGCAGCAAGUUAGAGUAUAAAGGCAAAUCCGUAUGCUUGAUAAUAUGAGCUGUGAAGGGGAGCGAAUAAAGUAGCGAAGUUAAUGAUUUCACACUGACAGGAAAAGUUUCUAUCCAGAUACAAGUAGCCCGUACCGAAAACCGACACAGGUGGGUAAGGUGAGAAACCUAAGGCCAGCGAGAGAACUGUUGUUAAGGAACUCGGCAAAAUGACCCCGUAACUUAGGGAGAAGGGGUGCCUACGAGAGUAGGCCACAGAAAAAAGGCCCAAGCGACUGUUUACCAAAAACAUAGGUCUCUGCGAAACCGAAAGGUGAAGUAUAGGGGCUGACGCCUGCCCGGUGCUGGAAGGUUAAGAGGAGAGUUUAGAGAAAUCGAAGAUUUGAAUUUAAGCCCCAGUAAACGGCGGCCGUAACUAUAACGGUCCUAAGGUAGCGAAAUUCCUUGUCGGGUAAGUUCCGACCCGCACGAAAGGCGUAACGAUUUGGGCACUGUCUCAACGAUGGACUCGGUGAAAUCAUAGUACCUGUGAAGAUGCAGGUUACCCGCGACAGGACGGAAAGACCCCAUGGAGC